rnacentral:rRNA from 1 species
AGAGUUUGAUCCUGGCUCAGAACGAACGUUGGCGGCGUGGAUUAGGCAUGCAAGUCGAGCGGGAUUAGCUUUAUUCAAUUCUUCGGAAGAGAAAAUUGCUAUGAGAGCGGCGAACGGGUGAGUAAUAUAUGGGUAAUUUGCCCCUUUGUUCGGGAUAGCCAUCGGAGACGAUGAUUAAUACCGGAUGUGAUCGGUCACUGCAUAGUGACCUCUUUAAAGGUGGGGAAUCUUCGGAUCCUAUCGCAAAGAGAUAAGCCCAUACCCUAUCAGCUAGUUGGUGAGGUAAUGGCUCACCAAGGCUUACGGGUAGCUGGUCUGAGAGGAUGGUCAGCCACACUGGGACUGAGACACUGCCCAGACUCCUACGGGAGGCUGCAGUCGAGAAUCAUUGACAAUGUACGAAAGUAUGAUCAUGCGACGCCGCGUGGAGGAAGACGGCCUUCGGGUUGUAAACUCCUGUCAGCAGGGAGGAAAGGCAGCACUACUAAUAUCAGUGUUGUUUGACAGUACCUGCAGAGGAAGUCACGGCUAACUCUGUGCCAGCAGCCGCGGUAAUACAGAGGUGGCGAACGUUGUUCGGAUUUACUGGGCGUAAAGGGUCCGCAGGCGGUCCGGUGUGUCGGAUGUGAAAGCCCACGGCUUAACCGUGGAAUUGCAUUCGAAACUACCGGACUAGAGUACUGGAGGGGAGAAGGGAACACUUGGUGUAGCGGUGAAAUGCGUAGAUAUCAAGUGGAAC